ACUAAGGACAUGUUAGGUUGUUCUGCAGCUGACAGGUCACGAAAAUCAAGCAGAACUAAGCAUGUAGAAAGCAUAUGGCUUCCAUGUUUGGACGCGGGUUCGACUCCCGCCAGCUCCACAU
rnacentral:tmRNA from 1 species